rnacentral:rRNA from 1 species
CGGGGUGAGUAAUGUCUGGGAAACUGCCUGAUGGAGGGGGAUAACUACUGGAAACGGUAGCUAAUACCGCAUAAUGUCUGCGGACCAAAGAGGGGGACCUUAGGGCCUCUUGCCAUCGGAUGUGCCCAGAUGGGAUUAGCUAGUAGGUGGGGUAACGGCUCACCUAGGCGACGAUCCCUAGCUGGUCUGAGAGGAUGACCAGCCACACUGGAACUGAGACACGGUCCAG